AAAAAUAUGCACACUGCUCGAGGAGAUCUCAAUAGUUUGGCUCUUGAGUUCUGAGCUAGAUAGUUGUCUAGAAGAUCCAAUGCCACACGUUUGAGAGACCAUGUGUUGAUGUUUCUGGAGUCAAGAAUACCAAGAGGUUUAUGAUCCAGAGGGAUUCUAGCCCAGAUAACAUCUAACUUGUAGAAGUAUCAGAACCAUAACCAGAUAAACACCAAAUGAUUUAAGCCAUAGCCUAUUUU
rnacentral:lncRNA from 1 species